GGAGAAAGAACAGCUUGCUCUCGGGUGUCAAGCGGCGGAGGGUGAGUAAUGUCUGGGAAACUGCCUGAUGGAGGGGGAUAACUACUGGAAACGGUGGCUAAUACCGCAUAACGUCGCAGACCAAAGUGGGGGACCUUCGGGCCUCAUGCCAUCACAUGUGCCCAGAUGGGAUUAGCUAGUAGGUGGGGUAAUGGCUCACCUAGGCGACAAUCCCUAGCUGGUCUGAGAGGAUGACCAGCCACACUGGAACUGAGACACGGUCCAGACUCCUACGGGAGGCAGCAGUGGGGAAUAUUGCACAAUGGGCGCAAGCCUGAUGCACCCAUGCCGCGUGUAUGAAAAAAGCCUUCGGGUUGUAAAGUACUUUCAGCGAGGAGGAAGGCGUUAAGGUUAAUAACCUUGGCGAUUGACGUUACUCGCAGAAAAAACACCGGCUAACUCCGUGCCAGCAGCCGCGGUAAUACGGAGGGUGCAAGCGUUAAUCGGAAUUACUGGGCGUAAAGCGCACGCACGCGGUCUGUCAAGUCGGAUGUGAAAUCCCCGGGCUCAACCUGGGAACUGCAUUCGAAACUGGCAGGCUAGAGUCUUGUAUAGAGGGGUAGAAUUCCCGGUGUAGCGGUGAAAUGCGUAGAGAUCUGGAGGAAUACCGGUGGCGAAGGCGGCCCCCCUGGACAAAGACUGACGCUCAGGUGCGAAAGCGUGGGGAGCACACAGGAUUAGAUACCCUGGUAGUCCACGCCGUAAACGAUGUCGACUUGGAGUUGUGCCCUUGAGGCGUGGCUUCUGGAGCUAACGCGUUAGUCUACCGCCUGGGGAGUACGGCGCAAGGUUAAAACUUCAAUUGAUUGAUCGGCGGCCGACACGAGUGAGGCACGCAGU
rnacentral:rRNA from 1 species